GGGGUCAUCCCGCAUAUACGCCUGCGCACACGCCGGGGUAGCCAAGCAUGCUACGAGAGUUUGGGAGAGGAACAGUGGGCUGCAGCCGCCAUGGACCCUUAUCGAUGGUGUUCGCUUGUGCGUGAGGAAGCUGUCGCUCGUGUCACCGAGGGAAAUACCGCCUCAUUCUCGAUGAACUAUUCGUCGGAGUUCUCAGACCACCGCCAAACUGCCUCUCGCCAUGAUGUGGUCUCCACGACGUGAUCUCCGGUAAGUAUAGGGAACCUUUGUUUUGAUUCGCUAUCCGCUUUGCGUAGAACUUGCUAUAGAAAGGUAGCAUGCACUGGUACUCAGUUGUCGGAGCGCCUGCAGUCACGCCACCGCAUCCUGCUCACUCGCCGUCACGCGGGCGCUGCCGGAGGUAGAAGACUGAGGUAGGAGAAAGAAGACUAGUCGUUAGAUCUCCAAAUAGACGCACUGGAUUAGGUCAAAAAUAACGUUUCGCCCGGGUUAAUCCUAGCCAUCGAUCUUUGUGUUGGUGACCUAGAUCAAAAUGAAGAACACCCCUUCACCGGUUGUAUUAGAAUCGUUGGAUCACGGGUAAGCGACCGGGAUCGGAUCUGGUCAUCGUGAAUUUUGGACCGUGGAUCCUAGAUCUGGCGGCCUCAGUUUAGUACCGGUUCGGUUAGGGAUAGAUCUAAUCCACACCGUAGGUUGAGGAUCCCAUGGCCAGGGUGUGUUCAUACCCCUUCGGCUCACAAAUUUGCUAAAGAGCCCCGAGCAAAACAAUAAAACAGCCCACAGUCCACGCGUAGUAGUAAAGUAUUUUACUUAGGUCCCGAAUUAUUGUGAAUUAGACCCUGAACUUUUCCAAGAAAUCCUAGCCGCAGCUCAACAAUUCGGUUAGGUAUAUAAAAUAAAUCUGGUAAUCGGUUUUAAUAUAAAAUAAACCUAAAAACUUGUUUAUUGCAUAACUUACUCACUUUUACUCUGAAUUACUCCACUCAAGUUGUGUUAGCUUCGUAUAAAUAUUUACUACACAGUGACAACAUUAAUUAUACCAUAUCGCCUACUUUUAUAGUUAGAUAUUUAUUAACCUAUGUCUACUAGAUUAACUCUUCUAAUCAAAGCUAAAAUGUCCAUAAUUAUAAUUUGGUUAAAAUAUGAUCACUAGACAAGUUAUAAUUAAGAUUAAAGUUGAAUUAAUUAUUUUUUCAGAUUAUCUUUAUAAAAUCAACACAAGACUUAGUUUUAAUUACUUAAUCACGUGGGUCUUCCGAAAAUUAUACCUCUUUAACCAUAACUCUGAUUUUAGUAGUUCUCAAACCCACGAUCUCGUAGCAACAAUUAGAGUAUUAUUAUACAGUUUGUUCUUAUGUUUGGUGUGAUGUUAAUUUUGCCUAUAUCAUGUUUGUUUGAAUUGCUACGAAUAGCGGUGAUGUCACGAGAAUCUGAAGAUCAUCUUGGUACCUGGGAAUCUCAAGUCUAAGGCAAGUUGCUCACUUGAUUACUUUUAUUUACCCAAUAAUGUUCUCUAUAAUCAUUUUGGCAUGCAUAGGCUUAAUUUUGAUGGGACCCAAUAGGUCACCCUAGUUUGGUCAUCUUUACACCUUGUUCACCCUUGAACUUUUGGGUAGUCUUUGCUAUUGCUAUAUAUGGUUUUGGGAUCAAUAUUACAUUAUGAUCAUGUUCCAAUUAUACUGUGGUUUUAAUUAUUGUUCAUGACAAGGUUAUUAUGUUGAUUGGAACAUCGAGCUUAACUUGAGAAACACGUGCCACCACAAGGGUGGAAUGGGACGCCCUUGGCUGACUAAUUAGGAAAGCUAGUGGAGGACUAUCUUACCCGAAAGGGGCAAGGGCAGUAGGGGAGUAGGCGUGUAGGGAGGUUCUCGGGUUGACUUUGCUGCGAUGGCGGUCAGACGGGGGAUUCCUGCAUUGCUCUUACUAGAAACUGUAGCGGGUUUUCUGAAGCUAGUGAAACUUUGUAAAGGCCUCGUAGUGUUACCCUGCCUCGUCUCCUCGGUAGAGGUGAAUGGGACUUCUAGACCCCUUGCUAACCGAGUGACAUGACUUGUGGGUAAAGGGUACCACCUCUACAGAGUGUAAAACUGGUAUACUAGCCGUGCUCGCGAGCAGCUCAGGACUCUCGCAUGAUUAGUUUAUGGAAUUAAAUUCAAUUUGUCAUUUGCAUCGCAUUGUUAUUUAUUAUUAUUUUUGAUAUAUUAUUACUCUGGUUUGGUAUCUACUUAUACUUAGUAACUACUAAUAAAAUUUUGACCAACAUUAAAAGCGAUGCUCCACUUUAACCAUCCUCUUUGGUAAGCCUUACACUUAACCUGAGCUCCCACAUUUGGCGAGUUCAUACACAUUAUUCCCCACAACUUGUUGAGCGAUGAACGUAUGUGAGCUCACCCUUGUUGUCUCACACCCCCCACAGGUCAAGAACAGGUACCGCAGGAUGAGGCACAUAGAGGAUGUUGUGAUGAGUUCGUGAGAGGUUUAGGUCGUCGUCUACCAGCCAACUUUGGGUUGCUAGAUCGUUGUCUCCAUAUGAUGUAAUUAUUUAUUUUACACAGAACUCCUAUUAUAUAGUAAAGAUGUGACAUUCGUUUAU
rnacentral:lncRNA from 1 species